CUGGACUAGGUUUCUUUCUGUAUCAUAAGCCCCGCCAGGUCUAGAGCCCGAGCCCGUGAGGAGACGCCACGCAGCCUGGUGAUUAAGAACAAACGUGGGCGUUGACGUCACAGAAAUCUGAUCUCAUUCCAGGUUCAAACACUUCACCUUCCUUGUGAGGUGUCAACGGGGAUAAUAGUCCCAAUCGUGUUGUUCAGCUAUGAAGAAAAAUGUGAUAAGAAAGUGAAAUUCUUAGCACAGUGUUCUGCUAAGGAAGAUGGAGAAUGAUGAGAUCACGAGGCUCACUGUGCCUGGGCACAGAUCCCACAAGAAGCAAGAGCCCUGCCAUGAAUGAGCAGUGACUGGAACACACUCACCUUGCCCAACAGAGCGAUGCGCUGCUGAGAGUCAGUCUCUCGCUGGCUCUCCAGUGGAUGAAGAAAAAUAAGCACUGUAAAAAUGAUGAAAGCCCUUCAGUCAGGAAACUGGACUCGGACCUAGAAAAACCAGACCGUAAACACUUGAAAUAGUAGAGAGAAAAGAUCUUCUCUAAAGAGCUUCCGUGGGGCAUCCAGUGGAGAGGCUGAAAAUAAACCUUUUGAAAAACAGAA